AUUGAACGCUGGCGGCAGGCCUAACACAUGCAAGUCGAGCGAGCGGCGGACGGGUGAGUAAUGUAUGGGGACUGCCCGAUAGAGGGGGCUAACUACUGGAAACGGUGGCUAAUACCGCAUACUAUCGGAUAACCCAUAUGGGAGUAGCUAGUCGGUGGGGUAAAGUCUAACCUAGGAGACGCUCUCUCGCUGGUCUGAGAGGAUGAUCAGCCAACCUGGGACUGAGACAAGGCCCAGACUCCUACGGAGGGAGCAGGGGGAAAUAUUGCACAAUGGGCGAAAGCCUGAUGCAGCCAUGCCGCGUUGAUGAAGAAGGCCUUAGGGUUGUAAAGUACUUUCAGCGGGGAGGCGUUGCCCGCAGAAGAAGCACCGGCUAACUCCGUGCCAGCAGCCGCGGUAAUUC
rnacentral:rRNA from 1 species